GACGAACGCUGGCGGCGUGCUUAACACAUGCAAGUCGAACGCUGAAGCACCGGCUUGCUGGUGUGGAUGAGUGGCGAACGGGUGAGUAAUACGUGAGUAACCUGCCCUUGACUCUGGGAUAAGCCCGGGAAACUGGGUCUAAUACUGGAUGCUACAUGUCACCGCAUGGUGGUGUGUGGAAAGGGUUUACUGGUCUUGGAUGGGCUCACGGCCUAUCAGCUUGUUGGUGAGGUAAUGGCUCACCAAGGCGACGACGGGUAGCCGGCCUGAGAGGGUGACCGGCCACACUGGGACUGAGACACGGCCCAGACUCCUACGGGAGGCAGCAGUGGGGAAUAUUGCACAAUGGGCGAAAGCCUGAUGCAGCGACGCCGCGUGAGGGAUGACGGCCUUCGGGUUGUAAACCUCUUUCAGCAGGGAAGAAGCCACAAGUGACGGUACCUGCAGAAGAAGCGCCGGCUAACUACGUGCCAGCAGCCGCCGCAG
rnacentral:rRNA from 1 species